rnacentral:misc_RNA from 1 species
UUUCCGUAGGUGAACCUGCGGAAGGAUCAUCACAAAAACAACAAAACAGUACUUUAGUGUAUUGCUUUUCGUUAUUUUCCCCUUGAAAUUAAUUGAUUGUAACCCAAUCGACAAAAAAUAGGGUUCACACCCUUUUUUAAUUGACUGGGUCCACUUGCUUCUCCUCCCGUCGAAACCGUUGAAUUUCGCCGUCAAAAAGUGAAAAUCGAUGGAGUCGUUGGGUAGAGACAGCGGGUCACCUUGGUUGGAUUUAUUCAGCCGCACGGUGCCCGCAAAAAGCAUAUAUCCAAGCAAAAAAAUCUGAGACAAUCUGUUGUUUAAAUUAAAAAACAACUUUUAACAAUGGAUCUCUUGGUUCUU